rnacentral:rRNA from 1 species
CCUACGGGGUGCAGCAGUGAGGAAUAUUGGUCAAUGGGCUUACGCCUGAACCAGCCAAGUCGCGUGAGGGAAGACUGCCCUAUGGGUUGUAAACCUCUUUUGUCAGGGAGCAACGCCGGCUACGUGUAGCCGGACUGAGAGUACCUGAAGAAAAAGCAUCGGCUAACUCCGUGCCAGCAGACGCGGAAAUACGGAGGAUGCGAGCGUUAUCCGGAUUUAUUGGGGUUAAAGGGUGCGUAGGCGGAAUGCCAAGUCAGCGGUAAAAGCGCGGGGCUCAACCUCGAUCCGCCGUUGAAACGGGCGUUCUUGAGUGGGCGAGAAGUAUGCGGAAUGCGUGGUGUAGCGGUGAAAUGCAUAGAUAUCACGCAGAACUCCGAUUGCGAAGGCAGCAUACCGGCGCCCAACUGACGCUGAAGCACGAAAGCGUGGGUAUCGAACAGGAUUAGAUACCCCUGUAGUC